UGGUAAGAUCCCUGAAAGAUGAUCAGGUUGAUAGGUCCGGGGUGGAAGCGCGGCGACGCGUGGAGCUGACGGAUACUAAUCGAUCGAGGACUUAACCAAU
rnacentral:rRNA from 1 species